GCCAGACCCUCCACAGCAUGGACAGACAACAGCGUGCUUUAACAGCUAGAAUUUGUUAUAUUAGAAAACUGAAAAAAAAAAUCAAUUUGUAAGCAAUGAACUUGCAAAGAUGUACCUGUGUUUUGCCACAUAAUAACUACCCAAAUAUAACAGCAUCUCAUACCAACUCUUUGUUUACUAAACCUACGUUGUCAUGACAGCCUGGCCAGAGCCGAGUCCUGGCCGGGUCCCCAUCUGCUGACACGGACAGGGCACUGGGGCGAUGCUGCGUGACUCCCCGAUCUCACCCCCAUAGCUUAACACUGUUAGGAAUAAAAACGGCAAGCUCAUGUAUCUGCCAACUACAGAGCUCGGAUUCCCUGGAAAUGAGCCAGAAAUGUCUUCUUGUUUUAAAAAUGAGAACCUUUAAAAACAAGCCACCCAAAAAAGAUAGUGGAUUUUUAACAACUAGCAAGAAGCUGCCAAUUCCUACGUCAAAGGUAAGAGCCGUGAAGAAGGUUCCCAGUGUACAUACCCAGCCUCCGUUUUGCCUUAUCCACUCUCUCAUGUUUGUCGUGAUGAACUCUGCCACAAAGUAAGAAAUCCGAGAAGCAUCGGCAUCCGGGGAAAUUCGCUCCUGGAGGAGCUUCUUGGUGAGAAUGCCUUCAAACGCAAAUAUGGUCACAAUCCUUCCCCAGUUAAUGACGCCGUCUUCAAACUCCUUCUCCAUGACCUGGUUGAAUAUGGUUCUGGCCGUGUCGACGGACACCACAUCAAAACUGUCCAGGCACGGUUUCAGGUUCUUCUCGACCUCCCCCUGCACGGAGGAGGCCACGUCCCGAAGCAGCCGGGACGCCCUGCUGGGGGCCGAGCCAGGCUGCGGGACCCGCAGGACAUGCCUCACGUAGUCCUGGGCCAGCGUCAGGGUGUACCCGAACUCGCAGUCCGUCAUCUUCCUCCCGGCCCGCCGGCCAGCCGAGGCCAAAUGAGGCGAGCGCCGGCGGGACCGGGGCCGUGACUCCUGGCGACGCGUGGAGGCCGGUGGAAUUUCUGUGUGCAUCACCAGCCGGUCCCUCCUCCUCGUCACUCUCGGGCGUGGGCUGGGUGUGAAAGAGAAAGUUGAAAACGUGGAAGCGGAAAGCAGUUCAGGAGAGGCCACUUCCUCAAACUGUCAGUGAUUAACUCGGGGACUUACGGGCUGAAGGCAGGACGUAGAGAAACCAGAAGCGCUCUCCCCCGCGGGGGGCGGCCCGUGUGCGAAUCCGGCCGGUCCUCCAACAGCUCCGUGCAGACUGCUGUCCGAGCCCGCGCUGCCACACUCGCAGCCGAGCGCUAUGCGCGGUGGUCAGACGGCAGAAACGACCCGCACGGUGGGCCGCAGAGACGCGGCGGCCGCGGUCAGGGGCGCGGCCCCACGCCGCGGGGACACGCAGUGCGAGCUGUGCGUGUCAGCCCUGAGCCGGCCGGCAGACCGCGGGCGGCGGAGGGGCGCAGGCCUUGCUCUUACGGGUUGGACAGAGGCGGGGGUCGCACGCCGCUGUCCCUGUACCAGACUCCGCGGAAUCGCUCGCGUUGACAUGGGUGGUUUUACGAAUGUCACCUGCACAAAAGGGUCAAGGCAGCCGCCCAGCUGAGCCAGGCUGGUGAUGGUCCAGGACGGAGCUCAGCCAGCCGCAGGGGAGCAGCCGGGGGACAGCGCUCAGGGACACCGCCCUGGACACUGCGGCCCUGAGCCGGGGGGCGGGGGUGGGCGGUGGGGGCGCCUGUGUACCCCGGAGCUUCUGACCCACAGAAAACAAGCCCUUCCUCCUCGCUCUCAAGUCAUGUCGGAAACAGAAGCGCCCCCUCGUCCCUCGAUCACCACGUGCCCGGUGUCUGUGAUGGGACCACACGGACAGCCUCCCGGGCUGAGUGAGGUGAGCCCCGAGCCCUGGCUCCUCACCAUCCUAGGCUAUGGCUCUUUCUGCAGCCUUCCCUCCGCCCCCACUGGGGUCCCCGGCGCUCCCAGACUCUCCCCCCUGCCUUCCCCUGCUCCCAGCGAGUCUCUGGAACACCCGACCCCCUGAGGCCGGAGUCCUGAAUUGGCAGGGGACCCGCACGGAACAAAGGGGCACAUUGCACACAUGCGCUGGGUCCCCUGCUCCACCAGGCCCCAGGGACAGUCCUCCCGUGUCCGUUCUGCGACGUCUGCUAGCCCACAGGAGGCGCCUUCUCUCCUCAGAACCCUGCUGGGCGUCAGAAGAACCAGCAAAGGGAUGGGACGUUUUCUCUCCCCAGUGGUGAUGAGCAUUCCUGCAGAAAUAGUGUGAGCACGAGGCUUCAGAGCUGUAAUCAGGCACUCCACGCUCAGGGUACACGCUCUCUCUCUCGCCAGUGCCCGCGCCUGCACCCGGGGAGGCUGGUCCUUGAUCUGUUGACUAAAUGAAGUGCAUUUCCAUCGCAGCUCCCGCCAACCGCAUGCAGGCCUCUGUCUUCCUGGUCCGGAUCCACAAUGGUGUUGCUGUAAAAACUCUUAAAUAUUGUAACCUGCUUUACUUUA